UGAAUGCCCACUGUGCAGAGCUUCAAUUAAUGGCAGGAUAAUUCCUUUGAUGAAUUGAACCCCACUUAAUCAAUGAUGUAAUCAAUCAAUCAAGUUUUGAUUUAUGAAUUAGGAAAGAACUGGCGCUGAAGUAAGUGUUAGAGACAUCAACCAAUCAAACAAUUCACCAAUCCAUCAAUCAAGCAGUUUAUCAAUCAAACAAUCAAACAAUUAAUCGCCUAAGCUCCUAAAUAAAGUUGGCAACUAUGAAGGAUGGGUGCUUUAAUAUCUAUCUAUCUAAUCUAAUAUCUAUGACAUUUUUCAAUAUUUGAGUAAAUAAUGGUGGUAGCCAGUUCUACUUUUGAAUGUAUACUCAUCUGAUGCUCUGGGAACAGGAUAUGACGUCAAAUCUUUAAUAUCUCCGUUCGGAGACCGGAGAUAUGGACUAAGGUACCUCCGUCGGCUCCGAUUUUUUAUCUCCGGCCCUAAUAAACUCACAGAGCAUUCAACACACACACCUAAGGAGUGGACCUAUAUAAUAUAAUAAUUUUCUUUAAAUUUCGAUUUUUUCUUGCAAAGACAAGGUGUCAAAUACGGCAUUUUUUCAUUUUGUUUUUAAAUGUCUUUUUUGGGGGUCUUCAUAUAAAAAAUAACGAAAGAAAAAGGAUACAGAUAAUUUUUUUUAAAAGGGUGUCCCAAAAAUAUUUCCCACUCAUUUUUAAAUUCUUUAAAGUUUUACUAUCAAAAAUGGUGAUAGCCGGUUAUGGUUUUGCAUGUAUACUAGUCUGAUAUUCUAGGAACAGGAUUAAAGUUCAAACCCGUAAUAUCUCUGUUCAGAGGAUAAGGUACUUCCGGUGGCUUCGAUUUGUCAACUCUGGAUCCAGUUGACUUACAGAGCCCAAAUUCAAAACACGAAUACAUUAGGAUCUAAAUGAUUGAAUAAAAAAUAAAUAAUUUAUAUUAUGUCCUUGUACCUAACUAUAUCUAUAAUUAACUUUUUUCCUUCAAUUAAUCAACCAUUUAUUUUAUCAAACAAUCAAUAAUUCUAUCAAUCAUUCAUUUAUUCCAUCAAUCAAGUAUCAAUCAAUCUAGCAUUUUGUUGAUUUAUCCUUCUUUCAAAAAAACCUCCUAAACCACCUCCGCCAGCACCACCACCUUCACCAUUGGCUAAACAUCUCUGCUUCGCGGAAGUUAUUUCCACCCCCGAGUCUGCAUGGCAUCUUUCAACUAUUAAAACAGUUAAAAUUAAUAAAGGUCCUUAGGUGUUUGUGUGUUGAAUUUGGGCUCUGUAAGUCAAUUGUAGCCGAAGUCGAAAAAUCGGAGCCAUCGGAGGUUCCUUAUCCUCUUGAACGGAGAUAUUACUGAUUUGACCUUUUAUCCUGUUCCUAGAAUAUCAGAUUAGAAUACAUGCAAAAGUAGAACUGGCUAUCACCAUUAUUGACAGUAAAACUCAUAGAAUUUUAAAAAUGAGUGGAAAAUAUUUUUGGGACACCCUGUAGGGGAUGUAGGGGAUAAAAUGCAUUUUCAGUACCCUUUUUCUUUCGUUAUUUUUGAUUGGAAGUCCCCAAAAAAGGCAUUUAAAAAGAAAAUAAAAAAUGCAGUUUUUUGACACCCUGUCUUCUCAUGAUAGAAUUGAAAAUAAAUUUUUUUCAUUAUUUUAUUAAAUUAUGUAGGUCCUUAGGUGUAACUGUUUUGAAUUUGGGCUCUGUAAGUUCAUAGGUGCCGGAGAUAAAAAAUCGGAGCCGACGGAGUUACCUUAUCCCAUAUCUUCGGUAUCCGAACGGAGAUAUUGAAGAUUUGACUUCAUAUCCUGUUCCUAGAGCAUCAGACGAGUAUACAUGCAAAAGUAGAACCGGCUAACACCAUUAUUUGCUGAGAUAUUGAUAAAUUUCAUAGAUACAUUGCCUCCUUUAGUCGUAUCCUUGAACCUUUCAAAACCUUGUUAUGAAACUUGCAAGCAGAAGCAAAUCUCCACAUGUCUAAAUUUGAUAAGAUUUUAAUUUUGGUUUG